rnacentral:rRNA from 1 species
UUUAAGUGAAGAGUUUGAUCCUGGCUCAGAGUGAACGCUGGCGGUAGGCCUAACACAUGCAAGUCGAACGGCAGCACAGUAAGAGCUUGCUCUUAUGGGUGGCGAGUGGCGGACGGGUGAGGAAUACAUCGGAAUCUACUUU